CUUGCUUGUGUGCUAUAUACAUUUUAGCUCGUAUUAUUUCCAGAUUACGUGCUACAGGACGACAGACCGCAAUUGAAUCAAUGACGUAAGCAUCUACAAUUUAUAAGCGCAACAUCUCUACACCCCAGUCAGGCACACCAGAUGUAGUCAACUAUUCUACUCAGCACUAACUUUCUACAAAUUUGUUUGAGUAUGCGCACAACCCCAACUAAAGCUAAAAUCGAUAACACGAUGGAUAUGGGUAUUCACUUGAGAAUAGCGCACAUUUGCUCAAUAUAUACAGCCUUACAUCAAAUUGUAUGCAAUUAAACACAAUGUCAUGCUUAAUGUCGUUUACCCAACACUUGAAAAGCAACGACAGCGCAGUUGGAAAAUGUUAGUGGGUACAUACUUACAUACAUACAUACAUAUGUAUAUAUAGCUUUAGAAAGACAUGCGUAUAUAUAAGUACAUAAGUAUAUCUGUAGACGAUGUGCCUUAUGUAUUUUUCAUACUGUGGUUUUUGUACACGCUUAAAAUCGCCCGGGAGGUUCGUAUGCGCGAUAGAAAUGCAGAGCGUAACGAUAUAAUCGAAACAUAUGCACAUAUGAGCGGGUAUUUUACAAUGUUUAUUUAAGUGCCAAACCAUUUGGCAAGUCAUACGAUGACUAAUACGCAUUUCAAAUGACUAACGACGGCGAAAACAAGCGGAAACAAGAAUAAUUGUUCAUUAGUUUUCAUAGAAAUUCGUUUGCUUACCUCGAUAUGUAUUUAAGCAAGCAAGCGAUGCGAUAGCGGUGCGGCUGAGACGAAUGCGCACGAAUUCAAACGAAACGAACCCAGCCCGAAGCGAGCGCAUGAAGAUGAACUAAUACCAACACAUAUGUAUAUACAUAAAUAUUUAUAUAUGUACAAGUUUUUAAUAACUAUAUACCGCAAGUAAAUGCAAUGCGAGUGAGAAAAAUUGAUAUAUAGCAAACAUAGAAGUCGCUCACUAUAUGAAUAUACACAUUUAGACGUAAAUACCUGAGAAGAGCGCAUAUUGUGUUUUCUAUGCCACACAAUACACACAGUACACGAUAAAAAUCACCCAACAGGCAAGCAAAGUGAGUAUGGUGUGUACGUGUAGACAAAGUUGAAUUUCCAUAUCUAUACAUGUGUGCAACAUAUGCUUGCAUGCGAAGCGCCUGAAGUCGGGAAACACGGCACGAUACAAGCGACCAGUGGGAAUAUGAAUAGCAUGAGAAACCCUACAACCAGUUUGCAAAGCAUGAAUGCAUUAUGAUUGUGUGUGUUUUUAUGUUUCUAGCUAAAGUAGUUUUGCACAGUGGUGCAGAUUGAGAAAUAUUUCGAAUUGGUAGGUAGCAGAAGUGAUUGUGUGACUUUAUUUUAUUAGACCGGGGAUGAAGCCUUCGAAAAUGAGAAAAAGUGAAAAACAAAAAUAAGAGUGAAAUGCAACUCAUUGGAAAUGGAAAAUAAUUUAAUAAAAAUUAAAGGAAAAUUUUUUGAAAAAUUGUUUAAUUCGAUUUCAGGUAAAAUGUCAUGUGUUACUUAAAAAGUUAAAUGGCUAAGUUAUAGAUAACAAAAAAAUUUACAAUAUUUGCCUUAACGCUUUUUCACAUA